rnacentral:rRNA from 1 species
UGCCAGCAGCCGCGGUAAUACAGAGACUGCAAGCGUUAUUCGGAUUCACUGGGCGUAAAGGGUGCGCAGGCGGCCAUGUGUGUGAGGCGUGAAAGCCCGAUGCUCAACAUCGGAAUUGCACCUCAAACUACAUGGCUAGAGCAUUGGAGAGGGAAGCGGAAUUCACGGUGUAGCAGUGAAAUGCGUAGAUAUCGUGAGGAACACCAGAGGCGAAGGCGGCUUCCUGGACAAUUGCUGACGCUCAGGCACGAAAGCGUGGGGAGCAAAAGGGAUUAGAUACCCCUGUAGUCCACGCCCUAAACGGUGCACACUAGGUCUUGGCGGAUUCGACCCCACCAGGGCCCAAGCUAACGCGUUAAGUGUGCCGCCUGAGGACUACGGCCGCAAGGCUAAAACUCAAAGGAAUUGACGGGGGCCCGCACAAG